rnacentral:tRNA from 1 species
GCCCCAGUGGCCUAAUGGAUAAGGCACUGGCCUCCUAAGCCAGUGGUUGUCAGUUCAAGUCCCAUCUGGGGUG